UCCCAUGCAGAGUUUCACAGUGACAGC
rnacentral:piRNA from 1 species